rnacentral:rRNA from 1 species
UAGGGAAUCUUCCACAAUGGACGCAAGUCUGAUGGAGCAACGCCGCGUGAGUGAAGAAGGUUUUCGGAUCGUAAAGCUCUGUUGUUGGUGAAGAAGGAUAGAGGUAGUAACUGGCCUUUAUUUGACGGUAAUCAACCAGAAAGGCACGGCUAACUACGUGCCAGCAGCCGCGGUAAUACGUAGGUGGCAAGCGUUGUCCGGAUUUAUUGGGCGGAAAGCGAGCGCAGGCGGAAGAAUAAGUCUGAUGUGAAAGCCCUCGGCUUAACCGAGGAACUGCAUCGGAAACUGUUUUUCUUGAGUGCAGAAGAGGAGAGUGGAAUUCCAUGUGUAGCGGUGGAAUGCGUCGAUAUAUUGAAGAACACCAGUGGCGAAGGCUACUCUCUGGUCUGCAACUGACGCUGAGGCUCGAAAGCAUGGGUAGCGAACAGG